AGGGAUAGUGCCACAGAAAAUAAACCGCCUAAUCAAGGCAAGGGUGAAACGGUGAGGUAAGAGCUCACCGGUUUCUUAGUAAUAGGAAACGCAUGGAAAACCCUGCUUGGAGCAAGACCAAAUAGGAGUAGCGCGAUUAGAGUAAAAUCUGGUCAAUUUUCCUAAAAUAGCUACUCGGGUUGGUUGCUUGAGCUGCUUGGUGACAAGCAGCCUAGAUAAAUUAUCGAUUUAAAUGACAGAACCCAGCUUACAGACCAGCUAGCAAA
rnacentral:RNase_P_RNA from 2 species